AUUGAACGCUGGCGGCAUGCUUUACACAUGCAAGUCGAACGGCAGCGCGGGCUUCGGCCUGGCGGCGAGUGGCGAACGGGUGAGUAAUGCAUCGGAACGUGCCCAGUAGUGGGGGAUAGCCCGGCGAAAGCCGGAUUAAUACCGCAUACGACCUGAGGGUGAAAGCGGGGGACCGAAAGGCCUCGCGCUAUUGGAGCGGCCGAUGGCGGAUUAGCUAGUUGGUGGGGUAAAGGCUUACCAAGGCGACGAUCCGUAGCUGGGCGGAGAGGGCGAGCAGGCACGCGGGGACGGAGACACGGCCCAGAGGCCUACGGGAGGCAGCAGGAGGGAAUCGUCCGCAAUGGACGAAAGUCUGACGGAGCAACGCCGCGGGAGUGAUGAAGGGGUUCGGCGCGUAAAGCGCUGGUGGUAGGGAAGAAACAGUACCGAACGAACUAGGUCGGUACCUUGACGGUAACUAACCAGAAAGCCACGGCUAACUACGUG
rnacentral:rRNA from 1 species